UGCCAAUGAUACUCCUAGAACUUGCUUGUGACACUCGUACAACUGACACAUCAUUCUGCUAUCGAGAUAAUUUACGUGUCUUAUCUCGAUAACCGUACCCAAAAAGAACUUAAAACGAGAUAUAUAAGAAUUAGUAUCAAAAAGUUAAUUUACAUGCGGGGACUAGUUUACUCUGAUGAUUAUGCAUAUUACACUAACCAAAUAUCUAACAUGAAUUCAGGACGAUGAGCGAGAAACUCCUCUAUCGCAAGCGAAUUUUUGAUCGAGUCAGUAUCAAUCGCAAGUUUGCUUCCAACCUACGAGCAUUAUACAGAGAGCUGGGGAAGGAAAGCAUUACCAUUAAGAAGGAUCCUUCCCAAGAAGAUCCACAAUCAUUCUGGUCAAAAAUUUGAAACAAAAAGAGGGAUUUCAACCUGAAUGCAUCAUGGUUAAAUACAAUUGAAAGAGAAUACUGUACCAACAUUGACUGUAAAACAUACAAAAUUGAUGCAGACACCUUCGCUGUAGCCGUAGGCAAACUGCAGAACGGGAAGGCACCUGGAAGGGACCUAAUAGUUGGGUAUUGAUUACAUGCUAGGAUCUUCAACUGCAAGAAAUAUCAACGUAACUCAUAAUUUCUUAGUAGACGAUCUCAAGAUUUAUGCUAGAAGUGUUCUCAACAUUUGGGACACUUGAUUGGUCUGUAGAGGAAAUCCACUCCAUAGAUAUCAAAACCCGCAAAAUCCUGACAACUUCUAGGAACUUCCACAAAAUCAGUGAUGUUGACAGGCUCUACCUAAGAAGAAAUGAAGGUGGUAGAGGCUUCUAUAUCCAGACUAUGAAUUCAUAUUCAUACCAAUAAUAAUUGGAGCUCUAGGUUUUGUUAGCAAAUGUUUAAAGGAGAAUCUGGAUAAACUAGGAUUUCCGAAAGAGAAAUCGACCGGCUAAUUCGUACAUUAAAAAUGCAUUCUAUGAGUGGAACAGUAAAAAUAUGCAAGACUUUUCUCAAGUUCUAAAUGUAAAUUUGUCUGUGUUAACUUCAUCUCAAAAAUGGAGCCUUGUCUCUUUGUUGGAAACCGGUUCUCUCCUCAGUGGAAUAUUUAUAAUAAUUUUUAAAAAAUAGAAAACAUACAUACAUGCAUGCAUACAUAUAUUUCCAAAAAUUUAGCACAUAAAUACAUAUGCAUGCAUCUAGACAUAAAAACGCAUCCAUAAAACAAACAUACAAAUCUGCGCAUACACUAACACCAAAUACUGCACACACACACACACACACACACACACAUAUGCACAAAUACCUAGAUGAUGUUGAUAAAAGUUCCAAUGAAGGAGCCUUGAAUCUAUGUUAGAGUCCGGCUCUUUCUCUAUGGACAAGAAAUACAGAAAUGAAACUGAUUGAUAAUAUACAUACAUACAUACAUAAACAGGCCCAGGGGCGCGCGCAUAUGUAUGUAAGUAAGAGGUGUCAAUCGUCACAAUUUCUCAGAAUAUUAAAAAGAAACUGAAAGAAACGCAAACAAAAUAUGUUAAUAAAUUACUAACAUGGACAGUUGACAUAAAUUAAUAUUUUUAUCUUUCUAAUCUCUCUUUUCAGAUUUUGGACUUUGUAAUUCGAGUAUUAUUAGUCACUUUUAGCUGAUUAUAUUUCAGCAGGAUGAGCUAACAGCAGAAACUGUCUGUUUCGAAGAAAUCCUCGUUAUUAUAUCAACGAAUAUUUCGUCUCCUUGUUUUUUGGUGAAACUUACCGUUCACUUUUCUUAUUCCAUUUAUAUAUUCGCUCCAUGAAAUAUACAUUUAGUCAGUUCGUUUCCUUCUAAUUAGCCGUAGCCUUUCUAUUACCGAUGGUCCGUUGAUCCUUGUUCUCACAAAAAAUUGUGGUUUUAAAAAUAUCUACCAAAAACACUAUCAACGGAAUUUAUAACUAAAGUUGAUCAAGAUGCGAACAUCAAAUUUCCUCGCUUUAAUUUUACUCGUGUAUGGAGUAUAUACAAGCCCAUUCCUGAAACAGCUGGUAAGAAGCACCGAAAUGAAUAAUGAACGAAAAUCAAUAACAACAACGAUAACAGCAAGAGAAUAUCCUGUGGCGAUAAUAGCUACAGGCACAGCGUUAGGAAGGGCAUCAGGAACAACAUCAGCAUCAAUAACAAGAACAGCAACAACAACACCAACAACAUCACCAAGAACAAUUACAAAAAUAGCAACACCAACAACAACACCAACAACAAAAAUACCAACAACACCAACAACAAAAAUAGCAACACCA